CAAAAAAACUAAUAAUUGGUCGAGCCAGAUGUAUACCAUGUUCUUGGGAUCGGUGGUAUGUUCCUUUGGUGAGACAGAUAACAUAUUAUCAUUGCUUCUUUCAAAUUCAAUAAGUGGUUUAACCACAUUGCUUUAUUUCUAUAAAUAAGUGAUCUGAUCACAAGUUUAAGUCCUUGUUCUCGGGAUCAAGCUUUCUUUAGGAACCUUUUGGCACAAUCAUCAUUUGAACUUUUUGAUCCACU
rnacentral:lncRNA from 1 species